rnacentral:tRNA from 1 species
UUUAACUUAAAUUAAAGUGUCUGGUUUGCGUCCAGGAGAUGUGGGGUAAACAAUCUGCAAGUCUUACAGA